GGCCCCACUGUGGAACACACACUGCUUUCCCAGCCCAGUGACACGCGUUCAAUAUGAGGCUAAAGCUGACCAGGCCGGGCCGUGGAGGAAUCCUGGGGCUUGGCGGCAGAAGGGAUGGGACCAGAGAGAAGGGUGUGAAGGAGGCUCCAGUAAGGGGCAGGAUAUUUCAGAUAAAGAAAGGUCAUAUCUUCGUACCUCACUUCCUGACACAAACAAGUUUUUACUGUUGUCAGCAACAAAGCCCUAAUAUAGCUGCGGAAGAGAAAAACUGCAUUGCAUUUUGCCUCCUGCAAGCAUCAUCAACAGUUACUGGAGGAAUGUAAUUCCAGAAAGCUUGAAAGCUGUGGUGAUGGUAAUUAUGUAUCAAAUGCCUGAUUCUAUUUCUGUUAUUAUUGUUUUGUCAUUUCUGUUCUACCGGCGAUCUGACUGAACUCGCGGAGGGACAAAUCCGGUUUUUCUUUUUGACUUGGGAAAAUUUAAUCAGGCCUGAUAGAAAACUCACUGCUCUCAGGGGAAACCAAGUAGGAGCCACUGAAAUGUCAUUUUAACAGAGCGUGGGUUUUGUGACUGUAGGAAAGGAUUUAAGGACGCUCCUUCUGUUCCGCUUCCCCGGCUGGGAGCGCCGGCUCCACGCACGCACAGACGCCACAGCGCCCGGAUGCUGUGGCUCCCUUAUCCGGGCUUCUGCAGCGCCACAAGCCCCUUCGGGAUGCUUGGAGGGGCUCCCGGUGGGUGGUGGUAUCAACGCGGCCGCGGCCGCCGCCGCCAGUUCUGCUGCUGUUGUUGCUGCUGCAGUCACGUGGGAGCCCCUUUAAGUUUCCAUAGAGAGGCCUCUCCGGUGUCACAUGAUGGACAUGAUAUAAUGAAACAACAUUGUGGAGAGGAAAGCAUUAGGGGAGCCCACGGCUACAAAAACAAGUGAGUGAGAAGAGGUGGGAGGAAGAGAAACUACGCCACCUCCCCUGCAGCCGAGCGCACGCAGCAACCUGGCGUGACAAGUGGGCGACGCCGGGGGACAGGGGAGCCGGGGGUCCUCAGCCCUGGCCCGGGGACCCCGCCGCCCACCGCGCGGAGAACAACUUUUAGCCGGCAGCUGCGGCCAGCGCAGCACCUGUCUCAGGAGUCUCCAUCGCUGCUCGUGAUAAUCCCAAGGAAAUUCUCUGAGAAUAUGCUCUACAAAUCUACGCGCGCAUCGUUUCCCCCCUCGCGUCGCUCUCGGGAAGGGGGAACCAGAAGAGCCUCUCAGCAGCCCAGAGCACCAUGGAGCCUCCUGGAAUGACACUUCUUGCUUCUUGGAUUGAGGGGAAUGAAGUAGGAUCUCACCUCACUUGUUUUCAGGGGGUCCUUUAACCAUGCUAAAGUGGGGGAAAGAAACACAGAAUCAUACAGUUUUCAUGUACUGACAGCCAGAAGCAUGUAAACAUCUGCAGAAACCAAACGUUUCCUGGAACUAAGCUUGAGCAGAAAUUUGUCACGUGGACCUUUGUUUAAAGAACCUAGUGAAAAACCACAGUUAUAUAAAAGAUCCAGGAGUGCAGUUCACGUGGAUUGGGUCUCUCUGGAAGGGAGAGAGUCUGAAGAGACCAAAGAAAAGGAAAAUUCGGGAAGUGCACUUGCUGGGCACAGGGACUGGCAUUUAUUAAUGUUUUUAGGGGUUAGAAGAGUUGGGAUACUUUGCCAUCUGGAGUUUCUCUGCGUGCUUCUCUGAGCUCAGUCCUGCCGGUUGGUGAGAGAUAACAGAUAAUACCCUGUAACAGCUGAGAGAAAAAUGGAAGAAGCAGAGGUACUUUUCAUGGAACAGAAAAAACCACUGUGCAGGUAACUGAAAUUAACAGGAAUUGUAUAUACAUUUAUUAAAAGUUAAUAUUUGUAAAUAUUUAGAAUAGUACAUGGCACGUAGUAAAUAAUUUACGUGUUUACUAUUAAUAAGUUUUUUUUAAUGUACUCAAGCCCAAAACAAACGAGUCAUACGGAUAAAAACUGUGCAGCAAAACCCAAAACCUUUGCUCCUAAAACAAGUUUGAACUUCACUGGUAAAUUCUGACAUAGCCUUGUGUGACCUGUUAUGGAGGCCCUGAGAAGCUUGAACUUUUUAUUCUUUGAGCACCCAUUCAUGAUUAUCUUUGAAGUGUCAGAUUGGUUUUAAUUUUGAACCAAAACAAACUUUUUUGACAUUCUUGAAGAGAUAUUUCCUUAUAAUUUGGAGAAAUAGAGCAUAGCUCAGCUUACAGGUAGCCCCAGAAAUGGCUCUCAGAGAGUUAGCAAAGAUAAUGAGGGUACCAGUAAGGGCAGUCCCCCUGUUGUCUGAUGAUGACAGAUAAUAACUUGGAAUAAGAAAUUCCAAACUGUUCACCCUGCCUAAGUGCUAACUUCACGUGACAUAACCGUUGGUGUCCCUGACUCCUACUGACAUAUUCAGCAGACAUUAAUAAGGGACAUAUUACAUGUCAAGUCUUUUACUUGGUGAUGGGAUUUCGCCUCGCUCUGCCCCAUCUCUCUGGAUCUGCACCAGUUCCUGCCUCUCUUUUGCCUCUGUGCUCAGGGUCUCCUUCCCAGAUCCAAGUUCUGGAUCCCACUAUCCCCUUCAUCUUCGGCCUUACUGCCCCAGGUCUUCUCCUGCAACAUAACACCAUCCCUUUAUUCAGGGUGGGAAAAUGCCCAAAGUGGGGCCCACAGGGUAAUCUGGUAGCUAGACCUUUCUCUGGAUGGCAUUCCUAUUCCAUCUUUCUUUCUCUGACUCCUGCUUCACAAUUCACAUAGUUUAUUUUAAAUACUACAUUGGUUUAUGUUCUGCCCUGUUUCCCCUCUGGAUUUGGGGCUGUUACCUCUGAUGGGUGCUUUUCUGUUCAGAGGUGUUGCAGCUGAUGUUCUUAUUGUGAGAGAGGAGAGACAGUGAGGGAGCAAGCGUCUCAGUGGCUUUCAGGCCUUUUUAUUGGAACCCACGAGAGGAAAUACGUGUUACCUUAGGGCCCAGUGUGCACACAUACUCGUCUAUACAUGUGGGUAUGUGGUUUCCUGAAAUAAUAACUUUAUGUGAGUUGUGAUAGAACUUUUUAAUCUUCUGCAUCCUGCCACUUUUUCUUUUUUCUCUUGUUUUUAAUGUUCAUCAUAAACCUACAAAGUGGAUCUCAUAACCUGCUAGUCAGUCAUCCUUUGAUAAACUUACAGUAUUCUAGCGCCAUGGUAGGACGCCAUGCUUUCUUGCUCUUCUUUCCAUAUUCUACAGUAAUGUGCACAAGUCUCUCUCUCUCUUUUUUUUUAGUAAGAGUUUCCCUCUAUUCCCCAGGCUAGUACCAUGGCGUCAUCAUAGCUUACAGCAACCUCAAACU